UUUCCGGACUGUCCGCUUAUGAUCACAGACACGGAAGGGUCGCUGAGGUGGAGGAGCUGAGUUCCAGACCCUACGGCUUAACUCCGAGCUCACAGUGGAUACUGACCUGAUGGUUGGAAACAAAACAGGAAGAUGUGAAGGAUGAAGUUAGAUAUUUGAUCCGCCGCCCCCUCAUCCAAAUACAGUUUUACUUUAUAGUCCACACUGGCCACCUUGAACUCAUCUUCCUAUUAGAACAGCGUUAGAACAGUUUCUGGCCCACAAUCCCAGAGAUGGAACAUUCCAUGUGAGCCCUGCUGACUGCCGCCACCUACUGGAAAGUUAUAAACUUCAGUCUUUGGAAAAGCCUGGGCUAAAUGUGCUGAAGAGACUUGGAGACUAUGAAAGGAGGGACACUGUGUCUGAUGAGAGACUGGAUUCUGAUCUACAGAACCAGCAUCACCAGGAUCCUUUCUGGAACCCUGGCCUUCCUGCGUAUCCGCUCUUUGGUUGGAGAAGGAUUGGCUAAACAUUUUUUCUUUCUGGCUUUAUUCUCUUGAAAUGCCUGCUUCAGUGUCUAUGAGCCAACACUACUCUCAUCUUUUUUGGUUUGCUAAUUAAAAAUGUAUCUCCAGCAGGGCA
rnacentral:lncRNA from 1 species